UGGGGAAUAUUGCACAAUGGGCGCAAGCCUGAUGCAGCAACGCCGCGUGAACGAUGAAGGUCUUCGGAUCGUAAAGUUCUGUUGCAGGGGAAGAUAAUGACGGUACCCUGUGAGGAAGCCCCGGCUAAUUCCGUGCCAGCAGCCGCGGUAAUACGGAAGGUCCAGGCGUUAUCCGGAUUUAUUGGGUUUAAAGGGAGCGUAGGCUGUUUGUUAAGCGUGUUGUGAAAUGUAAGAGCUCAACUUUUAGAUUGCAGCGCGAACUGGCAGACUUGAGUGCGCACAACGUAGGCGGAAUUCAUGGUGUAGCGGUGAAAUGCUUAGAUAUCAUGACGAACUCCGAUUGCGAAGGCAGCUUACGGGAGCGCAACUGACGCUAAAGCUCGAAGGUGCGGGUAUCGAACAGG
rnacentral:rRNA from 1 species